rnacentral:rRNA from 1 species
CUUUCCUAGAGAUGGAUUGGUGCCUUCGGGAACUCAGACACAGGUGCUGCAUUGGCUGUCGUCAGCUCGUGUCGUGAGAUGUUGAGUUAAGUCCCGCAACGAGCGCAACCCCUAUUGUUAGUUGCCAUCAUUUGGUUGGGCACUCUAAUGAGACUGCCGGUGUUAAACCGGAGGAAGGUGGGGAUGACGUCAAGUCCUCACGGCCUUUAUGUCCAGGGCUACACACGUGCUACAAUGGGUGGUACAAAGAGCAGCGACCUCGCGAGUGGAAGCAAAUCUCAAAAAGCCAUCCUCAGUUCGGAUUGGAGUCUGCAACUCGACUCCAUGAAGUCGGAAUCGCUAGUAAUCGCGGAUCAGCACGCCGCGGUGAAUACGUUCCCGGGCCUU